rnacentral:rRNA from 1 species
AGUGAACGCUGGCGGUAGGCCUAACACAUGCAAGUCGAACGGCAGCACAGUAAGAGCUUGCUCUUACGGGUGGCGAGUGGCGGACGGGUGAGGAAUACAUCGGAAUCUACUUUUUCGUGGGGGAUAACGUAGGGAAACUUACGCUAAUACCGCAUACGUCCUACGGGUGAAAGCAGGGGAUCUUCGGACCUUGCGCGAUUGAAUGAGCCGAUGUCGGAUUAGCUAGUUGGCGGGGUAAAAGCCCACCAAGGCGACGAUCCGUAGCUGGUCUGAGAGGAUGAUCAGCCACACUGGAACUGAGACACGGUCCAGACUCCUACGGGAGGCAGCAGUGGGGAAUAUUGGACAAUGGGCGCAAGCCUGGUCCAGCCAUACCGCGUGGGUGAAGAAGGCCUUCGGGUUGUAAAGCCCUUUUGUUGGGAAAGAAAAGCAGCAGGUUAAUACCCCGCUGUUCUGACGGUACCCAAAGAAUAAGCACCGGCUAACUUCGUG